AUGCACACUCACACGCACCCCCUCCCCCCCACACACACACAGAAUUAUACAUAUAUAUAAGGAGGAAUGUACAACUCAUACAAUUUGGGAAGUAGAUAGUAGAGUUUAGAGAUCUGAUGGCAUGACUGAGUCUUGAUUUCCCAGCCAAUCUCACCAUAACAUAUUAAGCAAAUAGCAUAAAAUCAAGGCUUUAUGUACACUUUUCAUGGUACAGUACUUGCUGACAGCACCUUGAUCGUCAGCGGACAGUGGGAGCUUGACUGACCUUUCUCGGCCCACAUCAUAGAUAGCAGCUCAACCAGAGACACCUGAUUGUCCUCUAGCAUGCGGCCUUACAUUCAACUGCGCAAGUAUAUGCAAGCCUAAGAUGCUUUUGAGUUGAAGAGUAUUUUAAUGGCGAGCUUUCCCCAGUGUUGAUAGUUCACCAAGUCAUACUCUUACUUGACUAAUAGCAAAUGAAAGCUGUUUGUUUUGAAUGGCUUUACUUGAAGCCAAUCAAAUAAAAAGAGUGUAUGUAAACAAAAAGAGAAAAGAACACUUGCAACUCUUAAUCUUUCAAAAGCAUGAGGUAAUAAUUCUUGGUGAAUGCAAAUUGUGCUGUCUGAUUUUGGUACUAUUGAAUGUAAAGGAAAAUAUGAAUCAGUUUGCGAAUAUUUUGCACUAAUUCAUGAGAAGAAAUUUCAGAGUAAAAUAACUUCUUGUGUUUUGGGAAGCAUCAUGAUUACUUUAAUUGCAAGAACUGUACUCGUGAAAAGUGUAAAUUUGCUGUAUAUACAUAUAUCGAGAGAGACAUGCUUUUGGUAUCAUAAUAAUGAUGACAUACAUACAGGAAAGAAUGAGCUACUGUGAAUUAGCUGUUUGUGUCACAACAACAUUUUCUCAUGUGAUACGAUCUCUUCUAGUAGAAGUAUCAACCUAAGUUUUGGUCAUAAAAUUUGCAUAGAAUCUGAUAUUUAAUAAGUGCUUGCUCUCUAAUUUGUGUUUAAAGCACUGUAAAAUGGAGUGCAUUGAUAAGUACAAGGAACUUGUAAAUUUAUUCAAUUUCCCAUUGUGACUGAAUUUCAAGUGAUGCAUUGAUUUUUGGAACAGGUAUUCUGAUAUCAAUGAUUUUCAUUAUCAGUUCUAUCUGUUCUGGGCUAUCUACCAGAUAUUGCUGAAAAUUUAUAUCUGCAAACUAACCAAAGGACUGCAAUCAACCAAAUAUGAUAAAUGUAUUUCCUUUGUCAAUCAUUCUUUUAACAUAAAAUAAUUUGCGAUUUUUAAGGGUAAAUAUCAACCCUCAAAACUCUGUUCGUGGAUGAACAAGGGAAACGUACAAAACGCUAUCUUUAAGGGUCUGUUCCAGAUCCGUAAAUACCAGAAGUGUUCUCUGUGUGCAAAGAAAACAAGGAAGAAGAAAGUAAACUAGUUUUGGAAAUCAACUUCUUAUUUUCAAGGAAAAGCCACUUUUAACAGUGGACGUAUCAAUAUAGACAUGUAUUUUUUCUUCUCUAAGAAAGAUGCUUUAGGAAGUAGCACAGAUGAAUUUGAUACAAGUUUUCUUGAUAAUGUAGGUAAAUAUGACCAUAAUAGCCACCUGUACAAUGUGUUUGUUUUGCCAAACACUUUGCUAGGCCAUAGUAUUUCCCAUCUGUUAUACACUCCUGUAUAGACACUACACCACUCAACACAUGUACUAUAAGAAUAUUGACUCUGGAUAUUCAAUUCUGAUCCCCUGAACUUGAAGUUAUUGUGAACUUCCAAUUGAUGAGUUUUGGAAAUAUUUACUCCUUAAUGGUAGGCAAAUAGUAUUGCUGUAUCCAUUUUUGAACAUUCUUUUCUUGUUUGGUUCACAAACACACGGGUAAGAUGAGUCAUACUAGAUCAGUUGAAACUCUGACAUUUAUUCAGAUAACUCCCUUUUUAUUCAGUAUGAAUAACCAAGUCUAUAAACAGGAUACUGCCUUGUCUGUCACAAAUGUUAGUAAUAGAAAAUAGGUGAAUAGUUUAUCCUUUUGAAUCAUUGAAAUUGCAUGUACAGAAAAAGUAGAGUAGUCAGCUGGUAAGACUUCUUAAAGCUUAUAAUAAAGCCUGUCUAAUUGUGCACUAUGUGGAGUCAUAUUAGUAUAUAUUGCAGUGACUAAUUGACAUAAAUGCUAUUACAACUUUUCACAAUUAUUAAAGGAUGGAUAUUAUUAGUGCUUCAUUGUUGGUUAUCAACAUCAUAGUGUAACUGAAAUUGAGCACAGUUAUGUACCUGCUUUAUGUAAAGACAGACAAGAUGAUUUAUAAAUAUAUAUAUAAAGGGAGCGGGUUACUAUGUUUAACUUGGUGCUAGAUGUUUAUUAUUUAGCAUUUCAUAAUGAUACAAAUGUGUAGCACAGUUUGUCAUUCAUAUUGAACUUGAACCUGUUACUAUCUAUAAUGUCCAUCACAGUAGUCACUACCCAUAUAUUCUUACUAGCUUCAUGUGAGUGGUGAGGCUGGUAAAAAAAUGCUUAUCUAACCAGCAUCUCACAGUUAUAUAAAUUAAAAAUAUUACUUUAGAUGGAUUGCAAGGAAAGUAUUUGCAUUAACCAUUUGAAUUUAAAAAUUAUAGAUAAUAACCAUUGUAAACAGUAAUCAAACUGAAUAGUUGUGCGUGGUUCAGGUAUGGGAAUUCAUUGUAGACAGUUGAUAUUUACCAAUCUAUUUCUUAUCGCAAAUAACGUCAUACAAAAGCAUUUGAAGAGCAGUUUUAUUGCUACAGAUAUUUUUGUUAUUUGUCAGUCAUAUGAGUAUUGAAGGCAUGGAAUAUGUGUUUGUACACUUUGUACUUUGCUAGAAAGACUCAGAAUUGGGAUUAAAGGAAACUGAUAUGAGAAACUGAACUGAUAAGUUUGUUUUCUCUUUUUAAUUAAAUUUGGGUCUUUUUCUUUCGUGUGUACAUGGUGUUGGUAUUAAGCAUACAGAUAAUUUUCACUUGCAAGGAUAGUUCACAAGAUUAACAGAUUAUAGGAAUAUCUUUUUUUUGGAGGAGGGGGGGGAUUGUCUGGUGGAAAAUCAUAUUUAUUGGUGCCUUUUUAUGUAUGGUGCACUAGUAUCAGUAAGGGUGUAGUCACAGUGGAAAUGUGUUCAGAUCUGAAUGAUCAAGUAUGAUGUUUUCAUAUUUUCUGCUAUUGUUUUGAAAAAGAUUUUGAUAUGUAGACUUAGAUGUGCUGUGUAAAAGAGAUACGAUUUUUUGUUGGAAUAGUCCUUUUAGAAAUGAUAGGACAAGUUACAAGGAAGGAUGACAUACAUUAUCAUAUUCCAUGUUCUUUUCAGUGAGGCUGAAGCAGCUAUUUGUAUAUAUGGCACAGUCAUUCUACCUAUUUGAGCUAAUGUGUAUGUAUGUAAUAAACUAGUUGUUAAGUCAGUUCAAAUACAGGUACCAGAUAGGAAUAGAGAGGGGUAAUUUUAAUCAUUGCCAUAUGAAUUUUGCUGAAUUAUGGAAGAUGUAGGAGUACCUUGUUAAAGUACAUCCAUGAAAAGGACAAUUUAAAGAAGCAGCGAGAACAUAACCACCUGUAUGUCUCCAAUUGCCUGAUUUUCCACUAAUGUCAGGCUUCUUUUUUCUGAGGCACGAAAAUUUGAUAACCAGUGUUUUUGCAGAAAAAAGAAUAUGAAUGAGGAUGAAUAUCUUCACAGAUGAUUUUAAUUCUCAUUUAUACUUUUUCUACAUUUGUCGCAAUGAACACUGUUUACCCAUGCUUUUCCUUUUACUGUUUUCAUAGGGAUGAUUUGAUAUAUUUUUAUCUAUUUAACAACUGACUCAUUCUCUUUUUUAUGUUUCUCUGUCUUGAGUUACUCUUUGUGCUUAUAAGACCUAAUGUUACUAGGCAGGCUAAUAUGCUGAAAGGCCUAAACUUUCAGGACUGUGCAUAAACAUGUGGGCAGCUGAUGUUUUUGUGCCACACAUGCUUCUGAUAUGUGGCUUUGAUACAAAUGUGUAUGAUAAUAGAAGGCUAUUUUUUGGCCCAAAUUUCCACAAAGUCUGUAUGACAGAAAGCCUAUAGAUUGUGAUCAGGCAGCUAAUCGAGGCAUGUCAUCUUGUUCCAGGCAUGAUUACCAUUCUCAGCAUGACGUGAUAGGUAUGCCAUCUGGAAGUAAAGGAUUAAGUAGCACUUCAGUGACCUGUGUAAUGAUUGUGUUUUCCUUAGGAAACUCUCAUGAAAAUACCAUGAGCAGGAAUUUAAGGUCAUUAGAUGUAACUGAUUUUGUUUAAAAAUAGUCAUAUAGUUGAAGUGCUAAUUGUUGUGAAAAGGUUACUAUACAGUAUGCAGGAGGUUAUGUCUGAAAAUUAUUAUAGAGUGGUGACUGUAUGAACGAUCUGAAGAGGUAAUUCUUGAAAAGUUGUGAAUGCAUUAGAAUUCUAGUAGUACAUUUCUUUUAAAUUUGCCAAAGAAAGUAUAAUCUGUUUUCAGGGUGAUCAAAAUUCAUUUAAAUGUUUUGGUCACCUUUAUAGGCUUGUAUCCUGACUCACUGAAUCUCAUAAUGGCUUCUGAAAUGAAAGCAUAACUAUAUUUAGAUUAAUUUUACUUUGAGAGAUACGUCAUAUAAAAAUGAAUUGGAAAGAGUAAUAUUUCAAGUAUUUUGAUCCCUGUAGAAUUCAGCAGUCCAAUACAGCCAGAUGUCUAAAUGCUACCUGGUUAUCUGAAUUCUAUUGUAUCAUGCUUUUUUGUAUACCAUAAGGACUUUUAGAAGAAGAAGAAGAAGAAGAAGAAGAAAAAGAAGUAGAAUUAAAUACCUUCUCUCAUACGGGUUUGAUCUUGAAGAUGAUAAUGUUAGAUCUUGCGGUGGAGAAUGUAAUGAGUUGGUCAUAAUUUUGUUAUUAUACAAUAUAUAAUGAUAAUUGUGAGAAAAGAAAUAGUUCUUGUACCAUAUGACAAUAGAUUGCAAUAGAAGGAAUUAGAUGAAUAUAUGUGUAUUUAUACAUAUCAAUACCGUAAUUGAUUAUGAUUCUAUAUAUUUGAAUUAUAGGGUUUUUUAACCGUAAAGCUUAUUAGAAAGUGAAAGUUUAAGGAAAAAAGUAUAUAAGAUAAGAGAAAUGUCUUAUGAUAAAGGUGACUGAGAAUUUUUUCAGCUAUGAUAGCUCUUGUAAGAAUAGGAAUUGAUAACUUUUGGAUCUCGUGGCUGUCUGCAGUUUAUCAGACAGUGUUUUUUGUAGGAAUUUAAGUAGGUGUACACUAUAUUCUUGAUAUUAAUUCCAAGAAAGGGAAGUAGUUCUAGUCACAUUGUGUUCAUGUGUAUUACAUGUUUAUAUGUCAACUCUUGGUAUCAAUGUUCUGAUGUCAGAGGGCCAAUAAUACCACUUUUCUAAUCUGGGAACCUCAGCGUAGCAUGGGAUAUCAAAUCUGAUUUGGACGUACAUAUUGUCUUAUGUUUGUAUGUGAGCUUGCCAUAUGUAUAACUUUUUGGGUAUUUUAUACUUAGAUUUGCUUGUAUGUAUCCAUAUCUUUUUGAUUUGUGUAAUAUGAAUUAUUGUUUUUAAAGUGUCCCAAUAUCUCUCUCUCUCCCUCUCUCCUUCCUUCCUUCCUUCCUUUCCACCCAGCCUUUUUUCUCUUGUUUUCUUUUAUUUUUUACUACUGUGUUGCUUAUUUUAAAAUGCCGAUUAAUAUUUUUGCAUUCAUUUUCCUGGCGGAAAGUGUCUGUGUGUGCCUUGUUUUACCUCAGUUUCCUUACCUUACAGUCUUGCCAAUUGGUUCAAAUAUAUACAUUCCUUUAGUUCAUACCUUUUUUAUAAUUUAUUUGCUGGUUUAUUAAAAAAUGAUACAUGUGUCUGUUUUUUUUAUGUGUUUAGAUUAAGAGUUGUCUGAUAUAUUUGGUGUUAUGUUCUCAUUUGAGAAAAGAAGAAAAUGUGCUUUCAUGUUUCUAGGUUUAACUGUGAGCUGUAGUGUUAUUGAUGUUCAGUUGUUGUUCUAUUAUUUAAGAAAAAGAUAACACCGGUCUACAGAUUAUUGUUAGUGAUGAAAAAAGUCCUCAAUAUAUUUCCUUAUAUGUGGUGUCAGUUGACUAUUGAAAAAAGCAGAAGUGUAAAAUGGUCUCACUACGUCAAAACUCACGACCAGCAUCUCUUUGUGUCUGACAAAUCUUGCAUCACAACUUCACAUUCCGUACAUUUUAAGAAUUCAUCGGGUAGAUAGAUGCCUAGUGAUAAAAGAAAAUCAGCCUAAUGAAUCUCUUUCUCUGUCUCUUUCACCAGUUUUCCUUACUUUAUUACCCAGUCUCGUGCUUCUCUUUCGUAUUUUCUUGUGUCUCAUGUCUUCUCUCUCUCGAUUCCCUUCUCUCUUUUUAUAUUUCUCUUUAGCUCUUUCUCUCAUUGUGUAUCUCUUUCUGAUCCUUUUCUAGUUUGGUCUUACUCUCUUUUAUAACUUAUUCUCAUCCUAAUACUCCUUUGCCUUCCUUUCCCACAGAUACAUGUAUGGUAUAUGGUAAAUCUUUUAUAUCUAGAGUAAGGAAAAGUUUAUGAUAUGCAUAAAUAUAUAUGUUAAAUGCAUACAAUAAAGUGCACUAUACACUUGACUGUACAAUUUUAGCUUUCUUAGACCUUCUAAAGGAAUCAGAGGAUAUUUACGCUACUCUUUUUACCCUGAUAUUGUGAAAAGUGAAAAAUCUUUUUCCACUCUUUUUGAAAUAUUGUGUAAAAGUAGAAUCUUCUUCAAUUAGUGCACAAUAAAGAGAUAUUUUUU
rnacentral:lncRNA from 1 species